rnacentral:rRNA from 1 species
UACGUAGGGUGCAAGCGUUGUCCGGAAUUAUUGGGCGUAAAGAGCUCGUAGGCGGUUUGUCGCGUCUGCUGUGAAAACCCGAGGCUCAACCUCGGGCCUGCAGUGGGUACGGGCAGACUAGAGCGCGGUAGGGGAGAUUGGAAUUCCUGGUGUAGCGGUGGAAUGCGUAGAGAUGCGGAGGAACACCAGUGGCGAAAGCGACUUUCUGGUCCUUAACUGACGCUGAGGCGCGAAAGCAUGGGGAGCGAACGGG